UCUGUGCUGAUGGAAAGGGCUUCCUUGUAGAGCUGUGGAAGAAAGGCUUGCUCUGGGAUAGCAUUUUGGGAGUUUUAUGGAUUCCCCUUGCAACUGUGGAAUAUGCAACAGAUGCCCAGGUUCCUGGUGGACAUUGAAUUCUGAAGUAAUAAAAAAUGGAAGUGAGAUUGAAGGCACAAAAACACCAACUUCACACGAGAUCUUACUAGAUGUCUACUUUGCAUUACCAUUUGAUACCCACAAAGACUUAGAUUGCAGAGCCUGGCACAGAGAGCCACCCCUCC